rnacentral:rRNA from 1 species
UACGAAGGGGGCUAGCGUUGUUCGGAAUUACUGGGCGUAAAGCGCACGUAGGCGGAUAUUUAAGUCAGGGGUGAAAUCCCGGGGCUCAACCCCGGAACUGCCUUUGAUACUGGGUAUCUUGAGUAUGGUAGAGGUGAGUGGAAUUCCGAGUGUAGAGGUGAAAUUCGUAGAUAUUCGGAGGAACACCAGUGGCGAAGGCGGCUCACUGGACCAUUACUGACGCUGAGGUGCGAAAGCGUGGGGAGCAAACGGG